rnacentral:rRNA from 2 species
ACGGGAGGCAGCAGUAGGGAAUCUUCCGCAAUGGACGAAAGUCUGACGGAGCAACGCCGCGUGAGUGAAGAAGGUUUUCGGAUCGUAAAACUCUGUUGUUAAAGAAGAACAAGGAUGAGAGUAACUGCUCAUCCCCUGACGGUAUUUAACCAGAAAGCCACGGCUAACUACGUGCCAGCAGCCGCGGUAAUACGUAGGUGGCAAGCGUUGUCCGGAUUUAUUGGGCGUAAAGCGAGCGCAGGCGGUUCUUUAAGUCUGAUGUGAAAGCCCCCGGCUCAACCGGGGAGGGUCAUUGGAAACUGGAGAACUUGAGUGCAGAAGAGGAGAGUGGAAUUCCACGUGUAGCGGUGAAAUGCGUAGAUAUGUGGAGGAACACCAGUGGCGAAGGCGACUCUCUGGUCUGUAACUGACGCUGAGGCUCGAAAGCGUGGGGAGCAAACAGGAUUAGAUACCCUGGUA